rnacentral:rRNA from 1 species
CCCUUAGAUGUUCUGGGCCGCACACGCGCUACACUGAUUCAUGCAACAAGUUCUGUCCUUGGCUGAUAGGCCUGGGUAAUCUCUGAACGUGAAUCGUGAUGGGGAUAGAUGAUUGCAAUUAUUCAUCUUCAACGAGGAAUUCCUAGUAAACGCAAGUCAUCAGCUUGCAUUGAUUACGUCCCUGCCCUUUGUACACACCGCCCGUCGCACCUACCGAUUGAGUGAUCCGGUGAAUAAUUCGGACUGCGCUUAUGGGCAACCAUUUGUGCGGGAAGUUUAGUGAACCUUAUCACUUAGAGGAAGGAGAANUCGUANCA